rnacentral:rRNA from 1 species
GAUGAACGCUGGCGGCGUGCCUAAUACAUGCAAGUCGAGCGAACAGACGAGGAGCUUGCUCCUCUGACGUUAGCGGCGGACGGGUGAGUAACACGUGGAUAACCUACCUAUAAGACUGGGAUAACUUCGGGAAACCGGAGCUAAUACCGGAUAAUAUAUUGAACCGCAUGGUUCAAUAGUGAAAGACGGUUUUGCUGUCACUUAUAGAUGGAUCCGCGCGGCAUUAGCUAGUUGGUAAGGUAACGGCUUACCAAGGCAACGAUGCGUAGCCGACCUGAGAGGGUGAUCGGCAACACUGGAACUGAGACACGGUCCAGACUCCUACGGGAGGCAGCAGUAGGGAAUCUUCCGCAAUGGGCGAAAGCCUGACGGAGCAACGCCGCGUGAGUGAUGAAGGUCUUCGGAUCGUAAAACUCUGUUAUUAGGGAAGAACAAAUGUGUAAGUAACUAUGCACGUCUUGACGGUACCUAAUCAGAAAGCCACGGCUAACUACGUG